rnacentral:misc_RNA from 1 species
GUAGGUGAACCUGCGGAAGGAUCAUUACCUGGCCUUGGGCCGCUCGCGGGAGCUAGUCGCUUGCGACGACGCUGCCGAGGGUGCUUAGCCCUUGACUUAUCACCUUGACUAUGUGCACCUUUUGUUGUUUCCUCGGCAGGUCAUCUGCCGCCAGGAACCCUCUAAACCUUUUUGCAAACAGCAUCCAAACUUCUGAAAACAAAACAAAUUAUUUACAACUUUUAACAAUGGAUCUCUUGGUUCUG